UGGGGAAUAUUGCGCAAUGGACGAAAGUCUGACGCAGCAACGCCGCGUGAGGGAUGACGGCCUUCGGGUUGUAAACCUCUUUCAGCAGGGACGAAGCGAGAGUGACGGUACCUGCAGAAGAAGGACCGGCCAACUACGUGCCAGCAGCCGCGGUAAUACGUAGGGUCCGAGCGUUGUCCGGAAUUAUUGGGCGUAAAGGGCUCGUAGGCGGUUCGUCACGUCGGGAGUGAAAACUCGGGGCUUAACCCCGAGCCUGCUUCCGAUACGGGCAGACUAGAGGUAGGCAGGGGAGAGCGGAACUCCUGGUGUAGCGGUGGAAUGCGCAGAUAUCAGGAAGAACACCGGUGGCGAAGGCGGCUCUCUGGGCCUUACCUGACGCUGAGGAGCGAAAGCGUGGGUAGCGAACA
rnacentral:rRNA from 1 species